UACGAAGGGGGCUAGCGUUGUUCGGAAUUACUGGGCGUAAAGCGCGCGCAGGCGGUUCUUCAAGUCAGAGGUGAAAAGCCCAGGGCUCAACCCUGGAAUGGCCUUUGAGACUAGAGAACUAGGGUACGGGAGAGGUGAGUGGAAUUCCGAGUGUAGAGGUGAAAUUCGUAGAUAUUCGGAAGAACACCAGUGGCGAAGGCGGCUCACUGGCCCGUUACCGACGCUCAGGCGCGACAGCGUGGGGAGCAAACAGGG
rnacentral:rRNA from 1 species